rnacentral:rRNA from 1 species
UCUUAGUGGCGGACGGGUGAGUAACGCGUGGGUAACCUGCCUUAUACAGGGGGAUAACACUUAGAAAUAGGUGCUAAUACCGCAUAAGCGCACGGGGCUGCAUGGCCCAGUGUGAAAAACUCCGGUGGUAUAAGAUGGACCCGCGUCUGAUUAGCUUGUUGGCGGGGUAACGGCCCACCAAGGCGACGAUCAGUAGCCGGCCUGGAGAGGGUGGACGGCCACAUUGGGACUGAGACACGGCCCAAACUCCUACGGGAGGCAGCAG